UACAGAGGGGGCAAGCGUUGUUCGGAAUUACUGGGCGUAAAGGGCGCGUAGGCGGCCUUCUAAGUCGAACGUGAAAUCCCUGGGCUCAACCCAGGAACUGCGUCCGAUACUGGAAGGCUUGAAUCCGGGAGAGGGAUGCGGAAUUCCAGGUGUAGCGGUGAAAUGCGUAGAUAUCAGCAGGAACACCCGUGGCGAAGGCGGCUUCCUGGAUCACCCCCGACGCUGAGACGCGAAAGCGUGGGGAGCGAACGGG
rnacentral:rRNA from 1 species